AUCUCUGCGUGACUUCCGCCAGCGUUUAGAGCGUUUUCGGGGUCCGAGUUGAAGAGCAAAACCAAGUGAAGGAAACUUCACUAAGUUCAGGGUGACAAGGGAGGAAGUACAGAGACUGCACUUUAAAUUCUGGAUGACAGACCUAUCAGGACUGAGUGGACCUUUGAGUGACAAGAUGGGGGUGUUCCAAAGAGACCAUGGCAGCCUGCAGCUAGGACUUUAAUCCCUUAAGAAUUAUGCUGAAUCUACUCGGCCUCUACUCUGUCAAUGGAACAACAAAUCCUUGAUGACAGCACAUCUAUUUAAAGCAUGGUUUACUGAAUAUUUUAAGCUCCCUAUUGAGACUCUGUCGAGACUGGAAAAAAGAGAUUUAUUUCAUAUUACUGCUCAUUAAUAAUGUUCCUAGUCACCCAAGAGCCCUGAUUGAGAUUUACAAGGAGAUUAAUAUUGCUUCUUGCCUGCUAAUACAACAUCUGUUCUGCAGCCCAUGGAUCAAGGAAUAAUUUCAAACUUCAAGUCUUAUUAUUUGAGAAAUAUAUUUCAUAAGGCUAGACCUGCUUCAGUGAUUCCUCUUAUAGAUAUGGCAAAGUAAACUGAAAACCUUCUGGAAAGGAUUCACCAUUCUAGAUGCCAUUAAGAUCAUUUGUGAUUCAUGGGAGGAGGUCAAAAUGUCAAUUUAUUAUAAUAGGAAUUUGGAAGAAGUUAAUUCCAGGCCUUAUGAAUGACUUCAUGACUUUAGUGGAGGAAGCACCUGAAGAUGUGAUGGAAAUAGCAAGAGAACUAGAAUUAGAAGUGGCACCUGAAGAUGUGACUAAAUUGCUGCAAUAUUAUAAUAAAACUUGAAUGGAUGACGAGUUGUUUCUUUUGGAUAAGAAAAAAAAAAAGGUUUCCUUAGAUGGAAUCUAUUGCUGGUAAAGAUUCUCUAAACAUUGUUGAAAUGACAGCAAAGGAUUUAGAAUAUUACAAAACUUUGUUGAUAAAGCAGUGGCAGGGUUUGAGAGUACUGACUCCAAUUUUGUAAGAAGUUCUAUGGGUACAAUGCUAUCAAACACCAUCACAUUCUACAGAGAAAUCUUUCAUGAAAGGAAAAGUCAACUGAUGUGGCCAACUUCAUUUGUUGUCUUAUUUUAGGAAAUUGCUGCAGCCACCUAAACCUUCAGCAACCACCACCCCCGCUUUUUUUUCUGUCACCCAAGUGGGAGUGCAGUGGCACUACCAUAGUUCACUGUAACCUCUAUCUCCCCAGCUCAAGUGAUCCUCCUGCCUCAGCCUCCCAAAGUGCUGGGAUUACAGGCAUGAACCACUACACCCAGCCUAUCAGUCAUCACCCUGAUCAGUCAGUAGUCAUCAAUACCAAGGCAAGACCCUCUAUAAGCAAAAAGAUGAUGACUCACUAAAGACUCAUAUGAGCAUUAGCAUUUUUUAGCAAUAAAGUAUUUUUAACUUAGGAUUUGUGUAUUUUUAGACAUAAUAUUUUUGUACAUUUAACAGACUAUAGUGUAAACAUAACUCUUUAUAUGCACUGAGAAACCAAAAAAUUUGUGUCAUUCCCUUUAUUGUGAUACUCACUUUAUUGCAGUGGUGUGGAACUGAACCUGCAAUAUCUCUGAGGUAUGCCUGUACAUAAUUAUGUACUAUUUUAUAUUGGUUUUGAGUCAUUUCAUGCAGGUAAAUUUGAUUAUCUCAAUUAAAUUGCAAUACCUUUAAAGUCAAAGACUGAGUCUUAUUUGGACUUUUUAUUCUCAUGACAGUGAACUAUUGGCAUGGCUCAAUCCAUUGACCUGUUUUGGUUCCUGAUGAAGUUUUGUUAAUUUAAAUGAGAAAAAUAAGGACAGUGAAGUAAGUUUUUUAUAAAACUAAAUUUAUUUGGCUUAUAAAACAGUUUAAUAUUAUGCCUUUCCUAUAUUUUUUGUGUUAUCUCUUUUUCUAGAUGAUUAUAAUAGAUGAUAAUUUUUAAAUGUUUCUAUUUGUCAAAGUACAACAUUGUCCAUCCUGUGUCAGUGUCUAACUUUUCCUUGUACUUAUUCAAAUAAUCUCAUAGUUGGAACUUAUUACUUAUUGUGUCACACAAUAUGCUGGUAAACACUGAAAUGGGGAGGGGUUAUUUUCAUUCUAUUUUAGAAUGGCACAGUUUCUAUGGUAUAGUGACUAAUCUGAACUAAUAUGUAAAAGAUUAAGAUUCACUUGAGAAUCAUUUUCAAAGAAUAACUUUUUUAAAUGUAGCACACUGCUGACUUGUGUAAAAAUUAAAUGUGAUACUGAA
rnacentral:lncRNA from 1 species